rnacentral:rRNA from 1 species
CGCAACGCGAAGAACCUUACCAGGUCUUGACAUUGAUGGACAGAACUAGAGAUAGUUCCUCUUCUUCGGAAGCCAGAAAACAGGUGGUGCACGGUUGUCGUCAGCUCGUGUCGUGAGAUGUUGGGUUAAGUCCCGCAACGAGCGCAACCCCUAUCUUAUGUUGCCAGCACUUCGGGUGGGAACUCAUGAGAGACUGCCGCAGACAAUGCGGAGGAAGGCGGGGAUGACGUCAAAUCAUCAUGCCCCUUAUGACCUGGGCUACACACGUACUANNNNNNNNNNGCGGCAACUCGCCUUCGUGAAGGCGGAAUCGCUAGUAAUCGCAGGUCAGCAUACUGCGGUGAAUACGUUCCCGGGCCUUGUACACACCGCCCGUCACACCACGAAAGUCGGAAGUGCCCAAAGCCGGUGGGGUAACCUUCGGGAGCCAGCCGUCUAAGGUAAAGUCGAUGAUUGGGGUGAAGUCGUAACAAGGUAGCCGUAUCGGAAGGUGCGGCUGGAUCACCUCCUUUCUAGGGAGA